rnacentral:lncRNA from 1 species
UAUGAAGUACUUAGGUCCAGGAGAUCUGUUUGGAAAAACCAGUGAAGUAAUCAUAAGGACAAUUCUAGGAACAAAAUAUUUAUGCACCCCUAUUUUUUGAUGACUUAGACUCAUUAAGGAAUUUCAGCACAAAUGCACAAUUUUCUCAACAAAUAUUAUAAAAAAGAUACUGAAAAGGAUGGGAGAAGAGAAACAAUUGGGGAAAUAAGCAUUUGUAAGAACAUAAAAUGUUAAGAAAAGCUAAACACAUGAGAGUAUUUUAUUAACGCUUUCGUUCCCAUAAAGUAGGAGUUGAGGUCUAACAAGAAUGUUAAACAUUAAAGCUAAAAUUUAAAAUUUGAGAUAAGAGAAAUCAAAUUGAAAAUAAAGGCUAAAACCAAAUUCUAAAACGUCUGUAAAGAAGCAGUAAAAGUUUCAGGCAAAAUGACAAAACCCAAUGGGAUGAGAGCCUGAAGCUGUUAUUCUAGAUGAGAUUAAGGAUAAGGAAGAAUUAAGAGCUAAAAAUAUGGAAGUAAGAAAAAGCUUAAAGGGGAAAAUUGUGAGAAAAUUUGAAAUAUCAUAGAAGAUAAGUCAUUCUGACAUAUUACCAGAAUUAUUCUUCAAAAUGGAAUAAUCCUAUGAUGAUUUGUAAAAUGGCCAUUCUUUAAAAAAUUUUACAUUGCAGUUACAGAAGGAUGAUUCGCUUGUAGUGGGGUGGGCCAUUGGAUAGUGAAAGGCAGGUCAGGGGUGUCAAGGUGCCCCAACCCAGUAUGUGCAGAUGGGAUGGUGGGAUCUAGGUAGACCCAUGAUGAGAACAGAGGGGACAACAUGGAGUCUUGUUGGAAAGGCAGACUUUGUGAUAGCUCUUGCUUGAUUUUAUAUCUUGGUGGACCAUCAGAUUCUGAUUUUAAUGCAAAUACAUUCCAUUCCUUUAAAUAUAUACACUCUCUUCCAUAUGUAUUAUAAAUAAAAAAGAACUUAUUUAGAAUAGCUCUGGGCUCACUCAUGUUUUUGUAUAUUACUGUAUCCUUUUGGAGCUGUUCUCCAAACUCUAGAGGCACCAUUCAGACAGAAGAAAUCAAUUUCAGACACGAUGGGAUAACAGUUUUCAACUCACUGGGCUGCAAGUUUGCAGGUAUCUAAUAGAUUUACUUUCUAGAUGAUAGGCUUGGAUGGGCUUCUCACAGGGACAAAGAGGACCAGAGAAUUUAAGAGCCUGCUCAGCCAUGCUUCUUGCCCUGAGCCUGGAGCGCAGGCAUUGCCUUGGCAAUUCUCCCUGGAAGGCAGGAAUCCCACCAUGGAGAAUCAACAUGUGGCCAAUCACUGUUCUUUAUGAAUGUACUUCCUUCGGGUGGAUGAGAAUAACCACAGGAAAUCAUCAUUGAAUAGUAGCUUUAACACAGACUCCUAUAGAAUGGAUAAAUACCUUCUGUCAAGAACACUGCUCCGGGGCACGAAUCCCACUAAAGAGUUGGCUUCAGACACUGGGAACUAUCAAGCAGGUCUCUGGAAAAAUUGUAGAGAAAUUAUCAGUCCUUCACCUGACUUUAAAGGACCCUUCAGUUUGUAGAAGGGGCUCAGAAAAAGAGCUGAUGCAGGUCUUGGCACUGUGCCAGUCAUAGAUGAAGGU